GUGACCUCAAAUCAGGUAGGACUACCCGCUGAACUUAAGCAUAUCAAUAAGCGGAGGAAAAGAAACUAACAAGGAUUCCCCUAGUAACUGCGAGUGAAGCGGGAAAAGCUCAAAUUUAAAAUCUGGCAGUCUUUGGCUGUCCGAGUUGUAAUCUAGAGAAGUGUUAUCCGCGCUGGACCGUGUACAAGUCUCCUGGAAUGGAGCGUCAUAGAGGGUGAGAAUCCCGUCUUUGACACGGACUACCAGGGCUUUGUGAUGCGCUCUCAAAGAGUCGAGUUGUUUGGGAAUGCAGCUCAAAAUGGGUGGUAAAUUCCAUCUAAAGCUAAAUAUUGGCGAGAGACCGAUAGCGAACAAGUACCGUGAGGGAAAGAUGAAAAGAACUUUGGAAAGAGAGUUAAACAGUACGUGAAAUUGCUGAAAGGGAAACGCUUGAAGUCAGUCGCGUCGUCCAGGGAUCAACCUUGCUUUUGCUUGGUGCACUUUCUGGUUGACGGGUCAGCAUCAAUUUUGACCAUUGGAAAAAGAUUAAGGGAAUGUGACAUCUUUGGAUGUGUUAUAGCCCUUGGUUGUAUACGAUGGUUGGGAUUGAGGAACUCAGCACGCCGCAAGGCCGGGUUUAACCACGUACGUGCUAGGAUGUGCU
rnacentral:rRNA from 1 species